AUGUACGAACCAGCCCGAAGGGCAUUGUCGAUCUAUGGGGGUGAAACUUAGGCUGUCCGAAGGGCACAUCACCACAUCUUGACAUGCUGGCGCUGGGAUAUACUUAUUUCUAUACGAUUGCUAAUUAUUGAAUAGAGGAUAACACUGCUAACGUAACAGAAGUAAAAAAUAACAAUGUACAAUGCUAGGGGAGUUACAAAUUAUUUAAGUGUGUAGGCUCAAUGCAUGUUUUGCUUGCACUAGGUGAAUAAAAGUGGGGUACAUUCGUAACAUAUUAAACAUACGAUUCGAACCUAAUUAAAAAUUAAAUUUACUAUACAGGCUAAGUUAAGAUGAAGUAUAUUAAAUGCUUCGAGAAAGUGAAGUGUAAAAUUGAGGUUGUUUCCUUGUAAAGGGACUUUGAAUUAAGGCACAAAGCUGUAAAGUAUCGUCUGCUGGUUUAUUAAGUGUCUACCAUGUCUGACAGUGAAGAAGAACACCUAGUAUAUUUAGAAUUUGAUAGCUUAAUCGACACAGAAGUAUUCAAAAGAGAUCCAUGUGUGUUUAAGCUGAUUGGUGUAGAUAGUGAUACACCUGUUCUUCAAGUUGGCAAUCAGGUUUUCACAGGUCAGUAUCAUGACAUACCUGGGACGGCCUUGUUCUUUGAAGAGGACCCUAAGCCCCAAGUGGUAGACCCCGUGUUCAGCGACAUUCCCGACAAGAACCUACAGUUUGUCUGCAAGACACGUAAAGCUCUCCACAUGUCCAGAGUGUUUGUCAAGAGGAAAUGUGAGGCAGAACCAUCACUAGAUAAAGUACCAGGUGCUGAACUUGUUCCCGAAAGGCAAUCCACAACUGGGGAGACUGCAGAUGAGGUCAUAAUGGCUGCGGAACCUACUACAUCUGAAGCAAUGAAGGAAGACCAUGUUCCUAAGGAAAAAGGAGUGGAUGUAGAAUCUACUCUUGACACUUCCUUGACCUCAGAUACUUGCCAACCUACUGAAAAAAAAGAUAGUUUGUUGAUAUUAUGAGGUAAAAACAUGUUUUUUUUUUGUGUUUGGUUUCUUUAAAUGUCUGUACUAUUUUUAUCAUGCAUACACUUUUUAACUUAUAGUCAAAGGUAAUUUUGUAUUAUGUAUUUGCAGAUUUUUGUAACAAGUUUUAAAGGUGAUUUUUUUUUUUUUUUACAAUAUGGCAUGCUAAAUACACGCACUUUAUGUCAGAAGUCUAAUUUUGAUGAUAUCAAUAAGUUAUUAUUGUAAGUUUUAAGAAGUAAUCAAACACAAAUGAAUAAUAACUUUGUUAAACCAAACACAAACUAGUCUGUUGCUCCUUACAGAAGAGUUUCAGUUUUUUUGUAAUUAUUUUUUUUACUGCAUAAUAUGUUCACAACCACAAGUUAUAGUUUUUCAACUGCCAUAGACUAAUAGUCAUACCAAAUACAUAGUAAAGCAAUUGCAAUCAUGUUUCUUUUCAAACUCGUCUAACAUCUAAACACUUUUUUACUUUCAUUUUCUUAUCUAACUUAAUCAAAGAAAUAUGCAUUAAUAAAAAGAUUUUUCUUUUUCAAUAGUAAA